UACGUAGGGUGCGAGCGUUAAUCGGAAUUACUGGGCGUAAAGCGUGCGCAGGCGGCGCGUUAAGACAGGUGUGAAAGCCCCGAGCUUAACUUGGGAAUUGCGCUUGUGACUGGCGUGCUGGAGUGUGGCAGAGGGAGGUGGAAUUCCACGUGUAGCAGUGAAAUGCGUAGAGAUGUGGAGGAACACCGAUGGCGAAGGCAGCCUCCUGGGCCAGCACUGACACUGAGGCACGAAAGCGUGGGGAGCAAACAGG
rnacentral:rRNA from 1 species